UCACGGAACACAAGCAGAAGACCAGCCUGGCUGCCUCCCUGGAGCUCGGGGGAAGAGACCCCACGCCACCACUCGGCCCACCUGACAGCACAGUGAAGGCGAUAGGGUGCAAUAAGCGAGACAGAGAUCUACUAGAGAAACAACACCCCGCCACCGAGCGAGGGAGAGCCACGCGUCUCUCACGCAGGUGUGGCCGAAGCUGGGGAAGGAGGGAGGCAGCGAGCUCACCGCACGGCCGGCGGCGCAGGCGCACUUUGCAGACAAGCAUGGCGCUGCCUGCAAAAGCUCCGGCUCCAAGCCGCAUCAUUCCUCGGUUGGGUCAGUCUUCGCUGGGCCGGGAAAGGCAGCGAAGCCCAUGCAGAAGGGGGAACGUAGCAGGAAAAGACCCGAGCUGAGGAAAACCGAGACCACGCAGGGCCCCGAAGACGGCACACAGGACCCACAUUGAACAAACACACUCGGCCUCCCUUCGUCUCCUUGGUACAUCACGUUCCCCAGAUAAAGUACGUUGUACGCGGUCA